AUUGAACGCUGGCGGCAUGCCUUACACAUGCAAGUCGAACGGUAACAGGUCUUCGGAUGCUGACGAGUGGCGAACGGGUGAGUAAUACAUCGGAACGUGCCUAGUAGUGGGGGAUAACUACUCGAAAGAGUGGCUAAUACCGCAUGAGAUCUACGGAUGAAAGCAGGGGGUCGCAAGACCUUGUGCUACUAGAGCGGCCGAUGGCAGAUUAGGUAGUUGGUGGGAUAAAAGAUUACCAAGCCGACGAUCUGUAGCUGGUCUGAGAGGACGAUCAGCCACACUGGGACUGAGACACGGCCCAGACUCCUACGGGAGGCAGCAGUGGGGAAUUUUGGACAAUGGGCGAAAGCCUGAUCCAGCAAUGCCGCGUGCAGGAUGAAGGCCUUCGGGUUGUAAACUGCUUUUGUACGGAACGAAAAGCUCUGGGUUAAUACCCUGGGGUCAUGACGGUACCGUAAGAAUAAGCACCGGCUAACUACGUGCCAGCCGCCGCUGUAAAAC
rnacentral:rRNA from 1 species